rnacentral:snoRNA from 1 species
AUCUUCCUGUGAUUCGUAAGUGUGACGGUUGGGUUUUCAUGUGUGAGAUAUGCCUCCCUCAAACCUUGUUACAACACCGGCACAUUGCCUGUCAGAUG